GAUGAACGCUGGCGGCGUGCCUAAUACAUGCAAGUCGAGCGAAAAGACGCGGAGCUUGCUCCUCUCACGUUAGCGGCGGACGGGUGAGACACACGUGGAUCCCCUCCCUAUCAGACUGGGAUAACUUCGGGACACCGGCGCUAAUCCCGGAUAAUAUCUUGCACCGUGUGGUUCAAUAGUGAAAGACGGUUUUGCUGUCUCUUCUCGCUGGAUCCGCGCCGCAUUAGCUGGUUGGUACGGUCACGGCUUACCACGGCAACGAUGCGUAACCGACGGGACAGAGUGAUCGGCGACACGGGAACGUGAACGCGGUCCAGACGACUACGAGAGGCAGCAGUAGCGAAUCGUCCGCAGUGGGCGAAAACCUGACGGAGCAGCGGCGCGUGAGUGAUGAAAGUCUUCCGAGCGGAAAGCUCGGUUAUGAGGGAAGAACAGAUGUGGAAGGAACUAUACAGGUCGUGACGGUACCUAAUAAGAAAGCCACGGCUAACUACGUG
rnacentral:rRNA from 1 species